GAUGAACGCUGGCGGCGUGCCUAAUACAUGCAAGUCGAGCGAACGGACGAGAAGCUUGCUUCUCUGAUGUUAGCGGCGGACGGGUGAGUAACACGUGGAUAACCUACCUAUAAGACUGGGAUAACUUCGGGAAACCGGAGCUAAUACCGGAUAAUAUUUUGAACCGCAUGGUUCAAAAGUGAAAGACGGUCUUGCUGUCACUUAUAGAUGGAUCCGCGCUGCAUUAGCUAGUUGGUAAGGUAACGGCUUACCAAGGCAACGAUGCAUAGCCGACCUGAGAGGGUGAUCGGCCACACUGGAACUGAGACACGGUCCAGACUCCUACGGGAGGCAGCAGUAGGGAAUCUUCCGCAAUGGGCGAAAGCCUGACGGAGCAACGCCGCGUGAGUGAUGAAGGUCUUCGGAUCGUAAAACUCUGUUAUUAGGGAAGAACAUAUGUGUAAGUAACUGUGCACAUCUUGACGGUACCUAAUCAGAAAGCCACGGCUAACUACGUGCCAGCAGCCGCGGUAAUACGUAGGUGGCAAGCGUUAUCCGGAAUUAUUGGGCGUAAAGCGCGCGUAGGCGGUUUUUUAAGUCUGAUGUGAAAGCCCACGGCUCAACCGUGGAGGGUCAUUGGAAACUGGAAAACUUGAGUGCAGAAGAGGAAAGUGGAAUUCCAUGUGUAGCGGUGAAAUGCGCAGAGAUAUGGAGGAACACCAGUGGCGAAGGCGACUUUCUGGUCUGUAACUGACGCUGAUGUGCGAAAGCGUGGGGAUCAAACAGGAUUAGAUACCCUGGUAGUCCACGCCGUAAACGAUGAGUGCUAAGUGUUAGGGGGUUUCCGCCCCUUAGUGCUGCAGCUAACGCAUUAAGCACUCCGCCUGGGGAGUACGACCGCAAGGUUGAAACUCAAAGGAAUUGACGGGGACCCGCACAAGCGGUGGAGCAUGUGGUUUAAUUCGAAGCAACGCGAAGAACCUUACCAAAUCUUGACAUCCUUUGACAACUCUAGAGAUAGAGCUUUCCCCUUCGGGGGACAAAGUGACAGGUGGUGCAUGGUUGUCGUCAGCUCGUGUCGUGAGAUGUUGGGUUAAGCCCCGCAACGAGCGCAACCCUUAAGCUUAGUUGCCAUCAUUAAGUUGGGCACUCUAAGUUGACUGCCGGUGACAAACCGGAGGAAGGUGGGGAUGACGUCAAAUCAUCAUGCCCCUUAUGAUUUGGGCUACACACGUGCUACAAUGGACAAUACAAAGGGCAGCGAAACCGUGAGGUCAAGCAAAUCCCAUAAAGUUGUUCUCAGUUCGGAUUGUAGUCUGCAACUCGACUACAUGAAGCUGGAAUCGCUAGUAAUCGUAGAUCAGCAUGCUAUGGUGAAUACGUUCCCGGGUCU
rnacentral:rRNA from 1 species